rnacentral:lncRNA from 1 species
UUUCUCCCACUCUUAUUUUAUAUUUAUGGUAUUUCAUUGAGGACAAUGUAUAUUUUAAGUGUGGGGGAGGGAACCAUUUAUUUGUUUUGUUUUGUUUAUUUUGUUUUUCAAUUUUUCUCUGUUUUUGGUUUUUAGUUGCUAAAUUAAAAAAAAAAUUGCAUGCUUUUUCCUUUGGUUUUUGAGUUACAAUUAUGAGUAUUUUUCUUAGUUCUCUUGACUAAAAUCUUGUG